CAUAAUCAGAUUCUCAUACUCUUUGUUCAGAGUUAAGAAAAUCUGUUUAUGUGUAUGAUCUUUUGUCACAUCAUAUCUCGUUUUAGCUGCGUGGACCAAUUUGUUUAUACAGCAAUUCUAUUUUUUCUCUAAGCUCUUGAAUGAUAAUGUCUUUUUGUCUGAGAAUAUAUGAUCACACAUAUGAGAUUUACCUUUUUGUCAGGUUCUACUGAUUCUUGAAUGGCAUCAUAAAACUCAGUAUCGGAGUCCCCGUUCCAUCCGUUGACUUUCUCACUGCACAUAACUUCACUAUUGUCAUCUGUGAACUUCAUAUUCACGCAAUGUUUUGCACAACUCAUGUGGAACAUAUUUGAACAGUUUUUACAUUUGAUUCCAUUUAUAACUUUGGAUUUACAGCGUUUACACAGGACAGCUGUGGAAGGUACACCCGAGCCGCCGACCAUCUUAACUUGACCGAGAAGAGACUGCACCUUGUGGAACCCUGCUUCCAGUAAUCGCAUGGUUGAGAGUUCUUGUCCUACUCUGCAGCUGCAUCGCCUGUCAGCUAGAAAAGACUCGAUUAAUCUUACCAUUUGUUUACUGUAGCCAAAGUUGCUCAUUUUGGCCAGAAGUCCGUCAUGCCAAACUCUGUCGAACGUCUUGGAGACGUCUAAGAAAAUCGCUCCGGUGUUGUAUCUUCUGCCGAGGUUGAAGGUUUCCGUCGCAAAGUCUACUACCCUCAGCACUGCCUUUCGCCCCCCCAUGCCCCCCCCCCGGGUUGAGUGCCCUGAAGUAAAAACUUCGCCUCACAAUUAAUUUGCGAGGAAAACUUAAUACUCCACUGCAUCCACCCCCGCUCUCCGAGCGGUCCUCAACUUACUGAUGGGCACUU